rnacentral:lncRNA from 1 species
UCAUCAGCCACACCAUCCUUAAAAGAACUCACUGUAUGUUGCCAAAGUGAUAAGGUAGGAAAUAGAAUAAGUUGGAUAACUUUAGGAAAGGAGAUGGCAGCCUUAAUAUUUGUAUAGAUAAAGCCAUACACCCAGAAUUCCCACAUGGAUGAACAGAAACGCAUUUGAAACUGAGAGAGUUCAAGAAUGUGGCCAGAUACAAAAUAAGUACACAAAAUCAAGAGCUCCUGAGUAACGGGAAUGACCACUGAGAAAGUGCGUAAUAAUAAAAAUAGUCAUGCAUUCCACACAUGUUCGAGUUCCUGUGAUUUUCCUGGCACUGUGGUAGACACUGGACACACAGAGGAGAACUAAACAAGUGAGAUCCCGGCGCUCACAGAACCCACACUCUGCUGGGGAGGCCAACAGUCAGCACACACACAAGCCAAUGAAAACGAAAGACCACAAAAGGCUCCAGGCUCCCAUAGAGACUAAGGAGGGACCCGCUGUCAGCCAGGUGUGGUGAGGGCCUCUCUGAGGAGGCGACAUUAAGAUCUGACAGUUGAGAAUGAGGAAGGAGGCCAUUUGGGGCCUAGGGAACAGCAUGUGUGACUCAUGUACCUUGAACAAGCUGGGUCUGUUCAGGGAACAAAAAGACAUAGUGUGCUGGGAGUGGUGUGAGCUGAGAGACUGGGAGAGCGCCUGGAGUGAGGGUGGACGGGUGGGUUCAAGUCGGGGAAAGGCGCACCUGAUUCAGUUAUAAAAAGGUUAUUCUCGCUGCUGUGUGGGGAAACCAUCAGAGGCCUUGGGAUGUUUUGACUUUGGUUUCCUUCACUUCCAAUGGGUGGUCUCUGUCUCUUCUGUUAACUUCCAGGGGAAAAAUCUGUGAUUGACCUGGCUGAGACCUUCGCCCCAUACGGUCUUUGGUGGCUCAGAUGAACCAAUCCCAGUGCCUUCUAACAGUUGGAGAGUAAGAAGGAUCCUGGAGCGGGGGAACUUCUGACAGCUCCUGCUCAUCCCCGGAGAAGACAGAAGCCCAUCACCUGGUACACUUCAGAGGAACACGCACCUGACAGCCAAGGAGAACUGGGCAGUAGUCCUCGGAUGUUGGGCGUCAUUUUCCGUGGGCAGUUGGGAGUCACUGUGCUUCUCCCACAAAAACUCUUCUCACAGUCCAACUUGUAUACAAACCCAUCAGACUGCUAGCCCCAGGGCAGGUACCUACCUAUCUUCCUGUCCCAGUACUGAGGGGCUCAAUAACUAUUGUUAACCUGAAGACACCGAAAACCUUGACAGCGCUGAGCUUGUUACAGCACCAUCUUGCUGUGUGUCCAUGUGCAGGUGCAACUGUACGUGAGAUCAGCGGCCAACCACCACCCUUUCCCAGGCCACACUCCAUCAGCAAGAGACUAUGCUACACCCCAAGACGAGAUGCAGCCAAUAAACAUGUCUAUGUAUUGACCUGAAAAA